rnacentral:rRNA from 1 species
UACGGGGGGGGCAAGCGUUGUUCGGAAUUACUGGGCGUAAAGGGCUUGUAGGUGGCCAACUAAGUCAGACGUGAAAUCCCUCGGCUUAACCGGGGAACUGCGUCUGAUACUGGAUGGCUAGAGUGUGGGAGAGGGAUGCGGAAUUCCAGGUGUAGCGGUGAAAUGCGUAGAUAUCAGGAGGAACACCGGUGGCGAAGGCGGGUCUCUGGGCAGUAACUGACGCUGAGGAGCGAAAGCGUGGGGAGCGAACAGG